AUCCAGCUGAUGAAUCCCAAAUAGAACGAAACACGCAUUUUGGAU
rnacentral:hammerhead_ribozyme from 1 species